GGGGCAACCCUGGUGGCGAGUGGCGAACGGGUGAGUAAUGCAUCGGAACGUGCCCAUUGAUGGGGGAUAACUGCGCGAAAGCGUUGCUAAUACCGCAUACGACCUACGGGUGAAAGCAGGGGACCGCAAGGCCUUGCGUCGAUGGAGCGGCCGAUGUCGGAUUAGCUUGUUGGUGAGGUAAAGGCUCACCAAGGCGACGAUCCGUAGCUGGUCUGAGAGGACGACCAGCCACACUGGGACUGAGACACGGCCCAGACUCCUACGGGAGGCAGCAGUGGGGAAUCUUGGACAAUGGGCGAAAGCCUGAUCCAGCAAUGCCGCGUGUGGGAGGAAGGCCUUCGGGUUGUAAACCACUUUUGGCAGGAAAGAAAUCGUUUGCGAUAAUACCGCGAAUGGAUGACGGUACCUGCAGAAUAAGCACCGGCUAACCACGUGCCAGCAGCCGCGGUAAUACGUAGGGUGCGAGCGUUAAUCGGAAUUACUGGGCGUAAAGCGUGCGCAGGCAGUUGGAAAAGAUAGAUGUGAAAUCCCUGGGCUCAAC
rnacentral:rRNA from 1 species